AGAGUUUGAUCAUGGCUCAGAUUGAACGCUGGCGGCAGGCCUAACACAUGCAAGUCGAGCGGAUGAAGGGAGCUUGCUCCUGGAUUCAGCGGCGGACGGGUGAGUAAUGCCUAGGAAUCUGCCUGGUAGUGGGGGAUAACGUCCGGAAACGGGCGCUAAUACCGCAUACGUCCUGAGGGAGAAAGUGGGGGAUCUUCGGACCUCACGCUAUCAGAUGAGCCUAGGUCGGAUUAGCUAGUUGGUGGGUAAAGGCCUACCAAGGCGACGAUCCGUAACUGGUCUGAGAGGAUGAUCAGUCACACUGGAACUGAGACACGGUCCAGACUCCUACGGGAGGCAGCAGUGGGGAAUAUUGGACAAUGGGCGAAAGCCUGAUCCAGCCAUGCCGCGUGUGUGAAGAAGGUCUUCGGAUUGUAAAGCACUUUAAGUUGGGAGGAAGGGCAGUAAGUUAAUACCUUGCUGUUUUGACGUUACCAACAGAAUAAGCACCGGCUAACUUCGUGCCAGCAGCCGCGGUAAUACGAAGGGUGCAAGCGUUAAUCGGAAUUACUGGGCGUAAAGCGCGCGUAGGUGGUUCAGCAAGUUGGAUGUGAAAUCCCCGGGCUCAACCUGGGAACUGCAUCCAAAACUACUGAGCUAGAGUACGGUAGAGGGUGGUGGAAUUUCCUGUGUAGCGGUGAAAUGCGUAGAUAUAGGAAGGAACACCAGUGGCGAAGGCGACCACCUGGACUGAUACUGACACUGAGGUGCGAAAGCGUGGGGAGCAGACAGGAUUAGAUACCCUGGUAGUCCACGCCGUAAACGAUGUCGACUAGCCGUUGGGAUCCUUGAGAUCUUAGUGGCGCAGCUAACGCGAUAAGUCGACCGCCUGGGGAGUACGGCCGCAAGGUUAAAACUCAAAUGAAUUGACGGGGGCCCGCACAAGCGGUGGAGCAUGUGGUUUAAUUCGAAGCAACGCGAAGAACCUUACCUGGCCUUGACAUGCUGAGAACUUUCCAGAGAUGGAUUGGUGCCUUCGGGAACUCAGACACAGGUGCUGCAUGGCUGUCGUCAGCUCGUGUCGUGAGAUGUUGGGUUAAGUCCCGUAACGAGCGCAACCCUUGUCCUUAGUUACCAGCACCUCGGGUGGGCACUCUAAGGAGACUGCCGGUGACAAACCGGAGGAAGGUGGGGAUGACGUCAAGUCAUCAUGGCCCUUACGGCCAGGGCUACACACGUGCUACAAUGGUCGGUACAAAGGGUUGCCAAGCCGCGAGGUGGAGCUAAUCCCAUAAAACCGAUCGUAGUCCGGAUCGCAGUCUGCAACUCGACUGCGUGAAGUCGGAAUCGCUAGUAAUCGUGAAUCAGAAUGUCACGGUGAAUACGUUCCCGGGCCUUGUACACACCGCCCGUCACACCAUGGGAGUGGGUUGCUCCAGAAGUAGCUAGUCUAACCGCAAGGGGGACGGUUACCACGGAGUGAUUCAUGACUGGGGUGAAGUCGUAACAAGGUA
rnacentral:rRNA from 1 species